rnacentral:rRNA from 1 species
CCUACGGGAGGCAGCAGUGGGGAAUCUUCCGCAAUGGGCGAAAGCCUGACGGAGCAACGCCGCGUGAUCGAAUGAAGGCCUUCGGGUUGUAAAGAUCUGUUGACAGGGACGAAUAAGCAAUGCAAAUAGUUUUGUGUAUGACGGUACAUGUUUAGAAUGCUCCGGCUAACUACGUGCCAGCAGCCGCGGUAAUACGUCGGGAGCAAGCGUUGACCGGAAUUACUGGGCGUAAAGGGCGCGUAAGUGGGCGCUUAAGUCAGGUGUGAAAACUCCGGGCCCAACCUGGAGACUGCACUUGAUACUGGGGGUCGUGAGAGUAGGAGAGGAAAGUGGAAUUCCUAGU